rnacentral:rRNA from 1 species
UACAGGGGGUGCAAACGUUGCUCGGAAUUAUUGGGCGUAAAGCGCGCGUAGGCGGCCACUUAAGUCGGAUGUGAAAGCCCCUGGCUCAACUGGGGAAGUGCACCCGAAACUGAAUGGCUUGAAUGCAAAAGAGGGUCGCGGAAUUCCCGGUGUAGAGGUGAAAUUCGUAGAUAUCGGGAGGAACACCGGUGGCGAAGGCGGCGACCUGGGUUGACAUUGACGCUGAGGCGCGAAAGCGUGGGGAGCAAGCAGG